rnacentral:rRNA from 1 species
GACGAACGCUGGCGGCGUGCUUAACACAUGCAAGUCGAACGGUGAAGCGCCUUCCUUUUUGGUGGGUGUGGAUGAGUGGCGAACGGGUGAGUAACACGUGAGUAACCUGCCCCCUUCUUCUGGAUAACCGCAUGAAAGUGUGGCUAAUACGGGAUAUUCUGGGUCUGUCGCAUGAUGGGUCUGGGAAAGAUUUUGUUUCGGUGGGGGAUGGGUUCGCGGCCUAUCAGCUUGUUGGUGGGGUGAUGGCCUACCAAGGCGGUGACGGGUAGCCGGCCUGAGAGGGUGGACGGUCACACUGGGACUGAGACACGGCCCAGACUCCGACGGGAGGCAGCAGUGGGGAAUAUUGCACAAUGGGCGCAAGCCUGAUGCAGCGACGCCGCGUGAGGGAUGGAGGCCUUCGGGUUGUGAACCUCUUUCGCCAGUGAAGCAGGCCUGCCUCGUUUGUGGGUGGGUUGACGGUAGCUGGAUAAGAAGCGCCGGCUAACUACGUG